GACGAACGCUGGCGGCGUGCUUAACACAUGCAAGUCGAACGGAAAGGCCCUGCUUUUGUGGGGUGCUCGAGUGGCGAACGGGUGAGUAACACGUGAGUAACCUGCCCUUGACUUUGGGAUAACUUCAGGAAACUGGGGCUAAUACCGGAUAGGAGCUCCUGCUGCAUGGUGGGGGUUGGAAAGUUUCGGCGGUUGGGGAUGGACUCGCGGCUUAUCGGCUUGUUGGUGGGGUAGUGGCUUACCAAGGCUUUGACGGGUAGCCGGCCUGAGAGGGUGACCGGCCACAUUGGGACUGAGAUACGGCCCAGACUCCUACGGGAGGCAGCAGCGGGGAAUAUUGCACAAUGGGCGGAAGCCUGAUGCAGCAACGCCGCGUGCGGGAUGACGGCCUUCGGGUUGUAAACCGCUUUCGCCUGUGACGAAGCGUGAGUGACGGUAAUGGGUAAAGAAGCACCGGCUAACUACGUG
rnacentral:rRNA from 1 species